AUUGAACGCUGGCGGCAUGCUUUACACAUGCAAGUCGAACGGUAACAGGCCGCAAGGUGCUGACGAGUGGCGAACGGGUGAGUAAUGCAUCGGAACGUGCCCAGUCGUGGGGGAUAACGCAGCGAAAGCUGCGCUAAUACCGCAUACGAUCUAUGGAUGAAAGCGGGGGACCGUAAGGCCUCGCGCGAUUGGAGCGACCGAUGUCAGAUUAGGUAGUUGGUGGGGUAAAGGCUCACCAAGCCAACGAUCUGUAGCUGGUCUGAGAGGACGACCAGCCACACUGGGACUGAGACACGGCCCAGACUCCUACGGGAGGCAGCAGUGGGGAAUUUUGGACAAUGGGCGCAAGCCUGAUCCAGCAAUGCCGCGUGCAGGAAGAAGGCCUUCGGGUUGUAAACUGCUUUUGUACGGAACGAAACGGUCCGGGUUAAUACCCUGGGCUAAUGACGGUACCGUAAGAAUAAGCACCGGCUAACUACGUGCCAGCAGCCGCGGUAACAC
rnacentral:rRNA from 1 species